rnacentral:rRNA from 1 species
AGAAUCAACGCUGGCGGCGUGCCUAACACAUGCAAGUCGCACGAGAAAGGGGAGCAAUCCCUGAGUACAGUGGCGCACGGGUGAGUAACACGUGAAUCAUCUACCUCCGAGUGGGGAAUAACUGAGAGAAAUCUUAGCUAAUACCGCAUAACACUUACGAGUCAAAGCAGCAAUGCGCUUGGAGAGGAGUUCGCGGCAGAUUAGUUAGUUGGCGGGGUAAUGGCCCACCAAGACGAUGAUCUGUAUCCGGCCUGAGAGGGCGCACGGACACACUGGAACUGAAACACGGUCCAGACUCCUACGGGAGGCAGCAGUGGGGAAUUUUGCGCAAUGGGGGAAACCCUGACGCAGCAACGCCGCGUGGAGGAUGAAGCCCCUUGGGGUGUAAACUCCUUUCGAUCGGGAAGAUAAUGACGGUACCGAUAUAAGAGCCCGGCUAACUUCGCGCCAGCAGCCGCGGUAA